AGAGUUUGAUCAUGGCUCAGAACGAACGCUGGCGGCGUGCUUAACACAUGCAAGUCGAACGGGAUCCAGAGCUUGCUCUGGUGAGAGUGGCGCACGGGUGAGUAACGCGUGGAUAACCUGCCCUGGUAUCUGGAAUAACAUCUCGAAAGGGGUGCUAAUACCGGAUAAGCCCACGGGGUCUUCGGACUCUGCGGGAAAAGGUGGCCUCUGAAUAUGCUACCGUAUCAGGAUGGGUCCGCGUACCAUUAGCUAGUUGGUAGGGUAAUGGCCUACCAAGGCUACGAUGGUUAGCUGGUCUGAGAGGAUGAUCAGCCACACUGGAACUGAGACACGGUCCAGACUCCUACGGGAGGCAGCAGUGGGGAAUUUUGCGCAAUGGGGGAAACCCUGACGCAGCAACGCCGCGUGAGUGAUGAAGGCUUUCGGGUCGUAAAGCUCUGUCAGUAGGGAAGAAGUGUAAGGGUGCUAAUACCAUCUUUACUUGACGGUACCUACAAAGGAAGCACCGGCUAACUCCGUGCCAGCAGCCGCGGUAAUACGGAGGGUGCAAGCGUUGUUCGGAUUUAUUGGGCGUAAAGCGCGUGUAGGCGGUUUCUUCAGUCUGAUGUGAAAGCCCUGGGCUCAACCCAGGAAGUGCAUUGGAUACUGGGAGACUUGAAUACGGGAGAGGGUAGUGGAAUUCCUAGUGUAGGAGUGAAAUCCGUAGAUAUUAGGAGGAACACCGGUGGCGAAGGCGGCUACCUGGACCGAUAUUGACGCUGAGACGCGAAAGCGUGGGGAGCAAACAGGAUUAGAUACCCUGGUAGUCCACGCCGUAAACGAUGAGAACUAGGUGUUGCGGGUAUUGACCCCUGCAGUGCCGCAGCUAACGCAUUAAGUUCUCCGCCUGGGAAGUACGGUCGCAAGACUAAAACUCAAAUGAAUUGACGG
rnacentral:rRNA from 1 species